AGAGACUUAGGAUAACUACUAGACCAAGAGCCUUCAAAGCUCUAAGCAGAGGUGAAAACCCUCUAGUCUCUG
rnacentral:tRNA from 1 species